CACUCCUUUCUAAGGAUGGCAUCCUUCAGCGAGCUUCGGCUCACUAUCGGAUCGUUUUAGAAACAUCAGUGGCCAACAAUCGUCAGGAUUGUUGAGCUGCAUUGGCGGGAUUUCGCCGUCUUCGUUUCUCUUUCUUCGCGGACGAACACGCGCUGGGGCUGCAAGUUUGCAGAGUCCCUGGUCCUUGACUGGAUAUGCGUUAGGGGCUUGUAGCUCAGUUGGUUAGAGCGCGCGCUUGAUAAGCGUGAGGUCGGAAGUUCAAGUCUUCCCAGGCCCACCACUUUCAUCGAGUGAGCAUUCGUCUUCUGGUUACGGGGCCAUAGCUCAGCUGGGAGAGCGCGUGCUUUGCAAGCAUGAGGUCGUCGGUUCGAUCCCGUCUGGCUCCACCAGAUGGUUUGAUCAUCGACUGAUCGUGCACCUAAAUCGUCCGCGAAACAUCACUUCGCAUCUUGCUAGUCUGGAUAGACAGCAAGUUGCGUGAUUUCUGACAUCGUAAAGAGGAGAUCGAUCCGAGUUGGAUCGUGCAGCAAGCAAUUGCUACGCGAGACUUCAUUAUCUCCGGAUCAUUUCGGCGCUCGUGCGUCUUUCAAGGGCAGCUCACAAGGCUGCUUCUGGAGAGACAAGCGAGUUGUAAAUGAUCCUUUUAGCGAAGCUUGACCGCCUCGCUAUCGGAACGAUCUUACGAAGCAAGCUGGUCUUUCUAAUCAUUGUCCGGCUGCAGAUAGCGUUCAUCGAGGGCGCGUGCCGCAAGGUAAUUCUGCAGACAACAUUCUGCCGAGUGUGUGGACAUUGAUAAUGAGAGCAAUCAAGUGCCUUAAGGGUGUUCGGUGGAUGCCUUGGCGCUGAGAGGCGAUGAAGGACGUGCUACGCUGCGAUAAGCCG
rnacentral:misc_RNA from 1 species